GUACACUCCUACGGGAGGCAGCAGUGGGGAAUUUUGGACAAUGGGCGAAAGCCUGAUCCAGCAAUGCCGCGUGAGUGAAGAAGGCCUUCGGGUUGUAAAGCUCUUUUGUCAGGGAAGAAACGGUGAAAGCUAAUAUCUUUUGCUAAUGACGGUCCCUGAAGAAUAAGCACCGGCUAACUACGUGCCAGCAGCCGCGGUAAUACGUAGGGUGCAAGCGUUAAUCGGAAUUACUGGGCGUAAAGCGUGCGCAGGCGGUUUUGUAAGUCUGAUGUGAAAUCCCCGGGCUCAACCUGGGAAUUGCAUUGGAGACUGCAAGGCUAGAAUCUGGCAGAGGGGGGUAGAAUUCCACGUGUAGCAGUGAAAUGCGUAGAUAUGUGGAGGAACACCGAUGGCGAAGGCAGCCCCCUGGGUCAAGAUUGACGCUCAUGCACGAAAGCGUGGGGAGCAAACAGGAGUAGAUACCCGAGUAGUCCCAUGA
rnacentral:rRNA from 1 species